rnacentral:rRNA from 1 species
CCUACGGGGGGCUGCAGUGGGGGAUAUUGCACAAUGGGGGAAACCCUGAUGCAGCGACGCCGCGUGUGGGAAGACGGUCCUCUGGAUUGUAAACCACUGUCCCCAGGGACGAAGAUGACGGUACCUGGGGCGGAAGCUCCGGCUAACUACGUGCCAGCAGCCGCGGUAAUACGUAGGGAGCGAGCGUUGUCCGGAAUUACUGGGUGUAAAGGGAGCGUAGGCGGGACUGCAAGUUGGGUGUCAAAUCUACCGGCUCAACCGGUAGCCGCACUCAAAACUGCAGUUCUUGAGUGAAGUAGAGGCAGGCGGAAUUCCUAGUGUAGCGGUGAAAUGCGUAGAUAUUAGGAGGAACACCAGUGGCGAAGGCGGCCUGCUGGGCUUUUACUGACGCUGAGGCUCGAAAGUGUGGGGAGCAAACAGGAUUAGAUACCCCAGUAGUC